GUAGGGAAUCUUUCACAAUGGACGAAAGUCUGAUGGAGCAACGCCGCGUGAGUGAAGAAGGGUUUCGGCUCGUAAAACUCUGUUGUUGAAGAAGAACACAUCUGAGAGUAACUGUUCAGGUGUUGACGGUAUUUAACCAGAAAGCCACGGCUAACUACGUGCCAGCAGCCGCGGUAAUACGUAGGUGGCAAGCGUUGUCCGGAUUUAUUGGGCGUAAAGCGAGCGCAGGCGGUUUCUUAAGUCUGAUGUGAAAGCCUUCGGCUUAACCGGAGAAGUGCAUCGGAAACUGGGAGACUUGAGUGCAGAAGAGGACAGUGGAACUCCAUGUGUAGCGGUGAAAUGCGUAGAUAUAUGGAAGAACACCAGUGGCGAAGGCGGCUGUCUGGUCUGUAACUGACGCUGAGGCUCGAAAGCAUGGGUAGCGAACAGGAUUAGAAACCCGUGUAGUCC
rnacentral:rRNA from 1 species